GAAUUUUCCGCAAUGGGCGAAAGCCUGACGGAGCAACGCCGCGUGAGGGAUGAAGGCCUCUGGGCUGUAAACCUCUUUUCUCAAGGAAGAAGACCUGACGGUACUUGAGGAAUAAGCCACGGCUAAUUCCGUGCCAGCAGCCGCGGUAAUACGGGAGUGGCAAGCGUUAUCCGGAAUUAUUGGGCGUAAAGCGUCCGCAGGCGGCCUUGUAAGUCUGUUGUUAAAGCGUGGAGCUCAACUCCAUUUGAGCAAUGGAAACUACAAGGCUUGAGUGUGGUAGGGGCAGAGGGAAUUCCCGGUGUAGCGGUGAAAUGCGUAGAUAUCGGGAAGAACACCAGUGGCGAAGGCGCUCUGCUGGGCCAUAACUGACGCUCAUGGACGAAAGCCAGGGGAGCGAAAGGGAUUAGAUACCCCUGUAGU
rnacentral:rRNA from 1 species